AAUAAUCCAAAUCAUGUGCAAUUUUUUGUGGAAUGUUCAUUAUCAUGUCCUUUAUUUUUUGAUGAUUUUUAAUAAAUUUGUGCACGGUUGGAUUUUAGAAAUGCCUAGGGUUUACUUUCAUGUACCAUUCCUUGCACCUUGCCUACUAUUUUGACCAUGAAAUCUUGUGCUUAAUUAGAAAUGCUUGAAAUUUUACAUGCAUG
rnacentral:lncRNA from 1 species